GUGGGGAAUAUUGCGCAAUGGACGAAAGUCUGACGCAGCGACGCCUCGUGAGGGACGAAGGUCUUCGGAUUGUAAACCUCUUUCAGCAGGGACGAAGCGAAAGUGACGGUACCUGCAGAAGAAGCACCGGCUAACUAUGUGCCAGCAGCCGCGGUAAUACAUAGGGUGCAAGCGUUGUCCGGAUUUAUUGGGCGUAAAGAGUUCGUAGGCGGUUUUUCGCGUCGGAUGUGAAAACUCAGGGCUCAACCCUGAGCCUGCAUUCGAUACGGGAAGACUCGAGGACGGCAGGGGAGACUGGAACUUCUGGUGUAGCGGUGGAAUGCGCAGAUAUCAGAAAGAACACCAAUGGCGAAGGCAGGUCUCUGGGCCGAUCCUGACGCUGAGGAACGAAAGCGUGGGGAGCAAA
rnacentral:rRNA from 1 species